UACGGGGGGUGCAAGCGUUGUUCGGAAUUACUGGGCGUAAAGCGCGUGUAGGCGGUUUGUUAAGUCUGAUGUGAAAGCCCCGGGCUCAACCUGGGAAGUGCAUUGGAAACUGGCAGACUUGAAUACGGGAGAGGGCAGUGGAAUUCCUGGUGUAGGAGUGAAAUCCGUAGAUAUCGGGAGGAACACCGGUGGCGAAGGCGGCUGCCUGGACCGAUAUUGACGCUGAGACGCGAAAGCGUGGGUAGCAAACAGG
rnacentral:rRNA from 1 species